rnacentral:rRNA from 1 species
AUUGAACGCUGGCGGCAUGCCUUACACAUGCAAGUCGAACGGCAGCACGGGUGCUUGCACCUGGUGGCGAGUGGCGAACGGGUGAGUAGUACAUCGGAACAUGUCCUGUAGUGGGGGAUAGCCCGGCGAAAGCCGGAUUAAUACCGCAUACGAUCUACGGAUGAAAGCGGGGGACCUUCGGGCCUCGCGCUAUAGGGUUGGCCGAUGGCUGAUUAGCUAGUUGGUGGGGUAAAGGCCUACCAAGGCGACGAUCAGUAGCUGGUCUGAGAGGACGACCAGCCACACUGGGACUGAGACACGGCCCAGACUCCUACGGGAGGCAGCAGUGGGGAAUUUUGGACAAUGGGCGAAAGCCUGAUCCAGCAAUGCCGCGUGUGUGAAGAAGGCCUUCGGGUUGUAAAGCACUUUUGUCCGGAAAGAAAUCCUUGGCCCUAAUACGGUCGGGGGAUGACGGUACCGGAAGAAUAAGCACCGGCUAACUACGUG